rnacentral:rRNA from 1 species
GGGGGUUCAGGCCCGGGGUGCCUUCGGCCUCCGGGCUCAAAAGUUAGCUACCUGGUUGAUUCUGCCAGUAGUCAUAUGCUUGUCUCAAAGAUUAAGCCAUGCAUUCUAAGUAAAGCAU